GCACCAGUGGUCUAGUAGUAGAAUAGUAUUCUGCUACAUUAUAGACCUUGGUUUGAUUCCUAGACGGUGCA
rnacentral:tRNA from 1 species